AUGCUCACUUCAGCACACAUAUCCUAAAAUUGGAAGUUCACAGAGAAGAUUAGUUUCUGUGAAAGGAUGAUGCACAAACUUGGGAAGCAUUCCAUAUUUUU
rnacentral:snRNA from 1 species